AGCCUGAUGCAGCAACGCCGCGUGAGGGACGACGGCCUUCGGGUUGUAAACCUCUUUUAGCAGGGAAGAAGCGAAAGUGACGGUACCUGCAGAAAAAGCACCGGCUAACUACGUGCCAGCAGCCGCGGUAAUACGUAGGGUGCAAGCGUUAUCCGGAAUUAUUGGGCGUAAAGAGCUCGUAGGCGGUUUGUCGCGUCUGCUGUGAAACCCCGAGGCUCAACCUCGGGCCUGCAGUGGGUACGGGCAGACUAGAGUGCGGUAGGGGAGAUUGGAAUUCCUGGUGUAGCGGUGGAAUGCGCAGAUAUCAGGAGGAACACCGAUGGCGAAGGCAGAUCUCUGGGCCGUAACUGACGCUGAGGAGCGAAAGGGUGGGGAGCAAACAGGCUUAGAUACCCUGGUAGUCCACCCCGUAAACGUUGGGAACUAGUUGUGGGGUCCAUUCCACGGAUUCCGUGACGCAGCUAACGCAUUAAGUUCCCCGCCUGGGGAGUACGGCCGCAAGGCUAAAACUCAAAGGAAUUGACGGGGACCCGCACAAGCGGCGGAGCAUGCGGAUUAAUUCGAUGCAACGCGAAGAACCUUACCAAGGCUUGACAUAUACGAGAACGCUGCAGAAAUGUAGAACUCUUUGGA
rnacentral:rRNA from 1 species